CAACUACCCCCUCUGUCCCAAAUUUCUUGUCUUAGAUUUGUCUAGAUACGGAUGUAUCUAAUACUAAAAUGUGACUUGAUAUAUCCGUAUCUAGACAAAUCUAAGACAAGAAUUUUGGGACGGAGGGAGUACUUU
rnacentral:pre_miRNA from 1 species